rnacentral:rRNA from 1 species
UACGGGGGGGGCAAGCGUUGUUCGGAAUUACUGGGCGUAAAGGGCUCGUAGGCGGCCAACUAAGUCAGACGUGAAAUCCCUCGGCUUAACCGGGGAACUGCAUCUGAUACUGGAUGGCUUGAGUUCGGGAGAGGGAUGUGGAAUUCCAGGUGUAGCGGUGAAAUGCGUAGAUAUCUGGAGGAACACCGGUGGCGAAGGCGGCAUCCUGGACCGGCAUUGACGCUGAUGAGCGAAAGCCAGGGGAGCAAACGGG